rnacentral:lncRNA from 1 species
UAAAAUAAAAUAUUAAUUAAAUUCUAGUCAAAACCUAAUCAAAUCUUGGUCAAAUUUUAGUCAAACUUUAAUCAAAUCUUUAUCAAAUCCUUAUCAAAUCCUAGUCAAAUCCUAAAUAAGUCCUAACCAAAUCUUUAACAAAUCCUAGUCAACUCCUAAUCAAAUUCUAAUCAAAUCCUAAAAAAAUUUCAACCAAAUCCUAAUAAAAUCCUAAAUAAAUCCUAACCAAAUCCUAAAUAAAUCCUAGUCAAAUCUUAAAUAAAUCCUAAAUAAGUCAUAACCUAAAUCAAAUCCUAAUCCUAACCAAAUCAUAAAUCAAAUCCAAAAUCCUAAACUUAAUUCUAACUAAAUCUUAAUCCUAAUCAAAUCUUAAAUCAAUCCAAAAUCCUA